AAAAAUCAUCAAAAUCGGAGUUAAAAUAACCGUUAAAUCGUGACUUUUCAUUUUAUAACCAUAAAAAAGUUUUGUUUCGUUUCUUCAUUUCUGAAUGUUUUUUUUUUUUUUUGAUUUCUGGCAUAUAUGAUCUCGAAGUAUAAAAAAACAAGUUUGCCGGUCGGAUCAUUGAAACUAGUUUAGGCUUUAGGGUUUAGGGUUUGCACGACGAAUAAACGCUUGUUUCGUCGCGCAAAGUGUACA
rnacentral:lncRNA from 1 species